rnacentral:rRNA from 1 species
GACGAACGCUGGCGGCGUGCUUAACACAUGCAAGUCGAGCGGAAAGGCCCUGCUUUUGUGGGGUGCUCGAGUGGCGAACGGGUGAGUAACACGCGAGUAACCUGCCCUUGACUUUGGGAUAACUUCAGGAAACUGGGGCUAAUACCGGAUAGGAGCUCCUGCUGCAUGGUGGGGGUUGGAAAGUUUCGGCGGUUGGGGAUGGACUCGCGGCUUAUCAGCUUGUUGGUGGGGUAGUGGCUUACCAAGGCUUUGACGGGUAGCCGGCCUGAGAGGGUGACCGGCCACAUUGGGACUGAGAUACGGCCCAGACUCCUACGGGAGGCAGCAGUGGGGAAUAUUGCACAAUGGGCGGAAGCCUGAUGCAGCAACGCCGCGUGCGGGAUGACGGCCUUCGGGUUGUAAACCGCUUUCGCCUGUGACGAAGCGUGAGUGACGGUAAUGGGUAAAGAAGCACCGGCUAACUACGUG